rnacentral:snRNA from 2 species
GUGUUGCUUUGGCAGCUCAUAUACUGAAAUUAGAAUAACAUGGAGAUUAGCAUGGCCUCUGUUCAAGAACAACAUGUAAAUUCAUGAAGCAUUCCAUUUUUUU